UACGUAGGGUGCGAGCGUUGCCCGGAUUUAUUGGGCGUAAAGGGCGCGUAGGCGGCUCGGCACGUCCGUUGUGAAAUCGCCCGGCUCAACUGGGCGGGGUCAGCGGAUACGGUCGAGCUUGAGCAAGCUAGGGGGUAAUGGAAUUCCCGAGUGUAGUGGUGGAAUGCGUAGAUAUCAGGAGGAACACCGAUGGCGAAGGCAGGUCUCUGGGCCGAUACUGACGCUGAGGAGCGAAAGCGUGGGGAGCGAACAGG
rnacentral:rRNA from 1 species